GACAGAGGGUGCAAACGUUGUUCGGAAUUACUGGGCGUAAAGCGCGUGUAGGCGGCCCUGCAAGUCGGGUGUGAAAUCCCACGGCUCAACCGUGGAACUGCUGGGUAUACUGCUUGUCUUGAGCCACUUAGGGGCUGUCGGAACAAACGGUGGAGCGGUGAAAUGCGUAGAUAUCGGGAGGAACACCGGUGGCGAAGGCGGUUCUCUGGGCCUUACCUGACGCUGAGGAGCGAAAGCGUGGGGAGCGAACAGG
rnacentral:rRNA from 1 species